rnacentral:rRNA from 1 species
AUCAUAAAGAAUUUAAUUUUGGUUCUGAUUGAACGUUUUUCAGUAGUUUUGAGACAUGCAAAUCGUUAUACUUAGAAUUAUUAUAUUAAAAUAUCAAAUAGUAACUAAAUUUAAUAUAAUACUAAUAAGAAUAAGGUGUAAAGGUGAGUAUUGUAAAUCAGAUACCUUAUAGUCUUCUUAAUUCGGAGAUAUUUUUAUUUCUGGAGAAGAUCCAUUUUACUAUUUAUGGAUUUUAUAUCUAUUAUAUUCUAAAUUUAUAUAUUUCUAAAAAGUAUGUAAAUAAAGAAUAUAGUUUAGAUGAAGGAUACUUAUUAGAAUAACUCUAUAUUAUCUUUUUUAAGAGGAAAAGUAGUUUAUUUUCAAUAAGGAUAAGUAAAAAGAUAAAUUAGCUAUUUAUCAAGAAAGGAAAGUUUCUGCUAUAAGAUUCGAUUUAUUUUGUUUAAUGGUAGUUGGUAGGGUAAAGGCCUACCAAGCCUACGAUCAAAAGCCAAGUUUGAUAGAACAGAUGGCCACAUUGGGAGUGAAAUGCCCCAAGUAGUAUUUAACUACCAGCAGUCAAGAAUAUUAGUCAAUGCUCGUAAGAGUGAACUAGCUAACUGAAAUCACUUGAGACAUAAAUAUGUUAAAUGUGAUAAGGUAAGGAAAAAAACUGAUGUUACCUUACUAUUAGUGUUGUCCAAAUCUGGUGCCAGCAGACGCGGUAAUACCAGAAACGCAAACGUUAAUCGUCUUUAUCAGGCGUAAAGGGUUUGUAGGCUGCUUUUACUAUUUCUAUUUAAAAAGCUAUGAAAAUUCAGUUAAAUAGAUAUACAAUAAAAGCUAGAAUCAAAUGGAGGAUAAGCCGAAUAAUACUUAGAGUAGGGAUGAUAUCCAUAGAUACUAAGGGGAAUACUAAAGGUGAAAGCUUUUAUCUACUAAUGAUUGACGCUGAGAAACGAAGGUGAGAAUAGGAAAUAGGAUUAGAUACCCAGAUACCUCUCACAGUCAACGAUGAAUGGUGGUUUGUUAGUUUUAAUAAAAACUGAUAACGAUGCUAACGCGAUAACCAUUCCGCCUUGCGAGUACGGUUGCAAAACUUAAACCAAAAAAAUUAGUCGGUCUCGAAGCAAACGCAGUGGAGCAUGUUAUUUAAUACGAAAGUACGCGUAAAAUCUUACCAGUUCUUGCAUAGCCAUUUUGUAACUAGCCUAAAAACUAGAACUUUUAAAUAAGUAGCAGAAUGAGUAAUAAUCUAAUUAUGUUUAUUAGAUUAUUCGUUUACAGGUGUUGCAUGGCUGUCGUCAGUCCGUGUUUUGAGAAGUUAGGUUAACUCCGCUAACGGACGCAAUCCCUGUUGUUAAUUUAUACUUAACAAUUAAUGAAUUUUAUAUAUUUUCAUUUGGGGCUAAGACAAGUCGUUAUGAUCCUCAUGAACUGGGCUAUAGACGUGCUACAAAAACUUUUACAAAGUGAAGCAAAACCAUACCCUUGUACUCUUUGUGGAAUAAAAUCUAUAAAUUAAGUUAAUAUUUAAUUAAAUAUUAAAUAAUAGGGUAAUAAGGAUUAGCUAAUCAUUAAAAAAAGUUAAAUAAUUAAAUUAUAAACGAAUUGUCGCCUGUAAUUCGGAGACAUGAAGUAGGAAUUGCGAGUAAUCAUUGAUCACUACGCAAUGGUGAAGUUGGAAUUCGGGAUGAACUAACUGUCUGUCGCUGGGAAGGAGCUUAAAUUGGGGGAAACUGCCACGAAAUUAUAUCUUAAACAAAUAUAUACACAUAAAUAAUAAUAUUUGCAAAUAUAUUAUUAUUUAAUUUAAUCUUAUUUAGAUUAAAAUUAAGUGUAGUUUAUUGCUAUUUAUAGUCAUUUAAUUAAAAAAAACAUCUUUGUUAAGCUAAUUAGUAUCAGUUAACCUAAUUAAGUAACAUUUCAAAAGUCAUAGCAAGGUAGUGGUACUGGAAAGUGCUGCUGUAAAAUAAAAUAU